CUCCAGAAGAAGAAGCCAUGUGUCGCACGUGUGUACCCCCCGAUGCCGCGAGACUACAUGGACAUGUGGGGGAAGGCGGCUGGUGGGUGGUGGCUGGCAUGGGUGACAGGUGGGUGGUGGCUGGCAUGGGUGACAGAUUUCCCUGAGUGCUCCUCCCCGACGGCAAUGUUUGACUGGCUGGGGUCCACCGUUCUUCCCCUUCAGCAGUCAUCCCCUUCCUUGGGCAGCCACACUCCCUGCCAGGCCACCCCCUGUCACAGCCCGCCUCCCUCUCCCCCGCCUGCGCCAAGCCCGUGGUAUCCUCCGUGCCCGUGCCCUACCCCAGCCAGGCACAGAUUGGCUACAUGGGCGCACAACAAGUGCCUCAGCUACCCUCCACCUCCCUACAAGUGCCUCAGCUCCCCACAAGGCCCCAAGGUCCCUGGUGGUGCCCCAGUGAGGACCAAGCCCCAGCCCGGCCCCCGCUCGUCCUGGCCUCCAGCUCCAAGCAGGAGAAGGAGGCAGAGAAUGCCACCCACAAGAACAAGGGUGUCCUCAACCUACUGUCCUCUGCUGCCGCUGCCUCCUGCCCCCAGGACAACACCACCGCUUCCCAGGGCCUGACGGCACUCCCACAUGGCCCCGGCCAUGGCAAGGGCCACACCUCAGCGUCCCUGGCCCUCUCCGGCAGGCUGCACCAAGGGGAAGGUGUAGAAAACUCUGCCUCCCGACACCGAGGUGUGCUGAACAGUGCCAGCCCCAAGGGGAGCAGUGCUAGCACCAUGCCAGGCCCUGCAGCCCCAGCAUGACCAUCAGCCCCCCCCCCCCGGGCCCAGGAGGGUGGGGGCGAGGCGGAGCGGUGGCCCAGCAUCGCCAAACUGAAGGAGCUGUUUGGGCACAGCAGCCAGGAGCAGAGGCUGCCAGCCGCCAGGCUGAGCCACAGCGCCAGCAGCAUGACGGCCCAGCCCACAGCACACUACCAGUGACAGCGGCCACAAGUGCAAGAGCCGCCUCGGGGCCGAGGAGAUGCAUCAUUAUGGCAUCGAACGAGACGGAAGGCGGAAAGGUGUGUGUUGAUGCUGGGACCAAGAAGAAGAAGAAGAAGAGGAGAAAAAGGAGGAAGAUGGUGAUAAAGGGAACAGGAAGAUCAGAAGAAGAGGAGGAAGAAGAGAAGAAUACACACACACACACACAUACAUAUGACAAACACCUUUUUAUAUAUUUUUCAUUUUUAUUAGUCCAUACAACAUACAUUAUAUACAUAUAAUACAACAUAUGCAUAACUAUAUACAUUAGAUCAUAGAGUGAGUGAGUGAGACUCGAGAGGUGAGAUAGAGAGGUGCCCCCCCCCCUCUCUCUCUCUCUCUCUCUCUCUCUCUCUCUCUCUCUCUCUCUCUCUCUCUCUCUCUCACCUCACCACAGCUCACAGGACCCCACAGAUGUACCUCCCACAGUAAGUUGACAACCACCCACAGACACAUACCCCCCCAGCCUCAUGAAGGACCCCCUUCUCCCUCCCCCCCUAGCCAACAUAGCACCCACAUAGCCUUAUCAAUGUUACUAUGUAUAUGUAUGUAUGUGUGUUUUUCUAUUAUUAAAAAGUUAAUUUGUAAUGUUUGUGUAUUCUAUUCCUAUGAGAGAGAGAGGAAGAGAGGAAAAGGUAAAGAGGGAGAGAGAGAGAGAGGAGGUAAGGGAAGGAGAGAGAUGAGAAAAGGAAAAGAAAUAAUGAAAGAAAGAACAAAGAAAUUUACUGAUAAAAGAGAGAGAAAGGUAUCAGAAGGGAGAGGGAGAGAGGCAAGGUAGUAAAAUUGAACAGUAAGUGUCUCAACUAACCUACUAACUAACUAUGGGAUGACAGAGAGAGAGGAGAUAUUAAGGCAAGGCAAGAUAGUGUCUUAACUAACCUACUAACUAACUAUGGGAUAACAGAAAGAGAUGACCAGAGAGAGAGAGAAAGAGAGAGAGAGGUAAGGUAAGGCAAGGUAAGGUAAGGUAAGAAGAUACAAACAAAAUAAACUGUCAACUGUAUGUACAUAGCUAACCGUAUGAGACUGUAUGUUAUGUAUACUCUAUAACAAAAGCAAUAUUAUCUUAACAGAGAGAGAGAGAGAGAGAGAUGUAAUCAGUAUGUAGCAAACUGUAUAGGCCUAUGUAUAUGCCUACCUAGUGAGAGGAAGCUGAACUCUAUAACAAAGGCAAUAUUAUCUUAACAGAGA